rnacentral:rRNA from 1 species
GAUGAACGCUAGCUACAGGCUUAACACAUGCAAGUCGAGGGGAAACGCCAUCGAAAGCUUGCUUUUGAUGGGCGUCGACCGGCGCACGGGUGAGUAACGCGUAUCCAACCUGCCCAUCACUUGGGGAUAACCUUGCGAAAGUAAGACUAAUACCCAAUGAUAUCUCUAGAAGACAUCUGAAAGAGAUUAAAGAUUUAUCGGUGAUGGAUGGGGAUGCGUCUGAUUAGCUUGUUGGCGGGGUAACGGCCCACCAAGGCAACGAUCAGUAGGGGUUCUGAGAGGAAGGUCCCCCACAGUGGAACUGAGACACGGUCCAAACUCCUACGGGAGGCAGCAGUGAGGAAUAUUGGUCAAUGGGCGAGAGCCUGAACCAGCCAAGUAGCGUGCAGGAAGACGGCCCUAUGGGUUGUAAACUGCUUUUAUAAGGGAAUAAAGUGAGAGUCGUGACUCUUUUUGUAUGUACCUUAUGAAUAAGGACCGGCUAAUUCCGUG